rnacentral:lncRNA from 1 species
GUUUUAGAAUUUGAAUGUACUUUUUAAAAGUUUUAAUACUUGAUUGCAUUUUUGUGAUAAGUUUUAAAAUCAGUACUUAUCGUUUAAAUUAUCUUUAUUGCUUAAGUUUCUAAACAGGAUUAGCUAAAACUCAUCUUCGUUUAACUGUGAUUAUUGUGUUUAGGAAGGUAAAGGCGUUUCUCCAACAAAAUGGGGCGCAGGAGGGGAAGUCGCCGUCAGUUUACUUACAAGCGCAAGGCCUUCCACCGAGGAUCAAAAUGUAUGUAAAAGCCAAAUUGGGUGAGUUGAACAACAGCGACCCUGGAAACAGUAAGGAAAAAACGGGUAUGUUUUUUUUUUUUUUUUUUUUUUUUUUUUCUCUCUAUAACAGCCACAUCUAAUUGACCUUUUACUUUCUUUUUUUGUUUUUUACAUAAUCAAAUUUCACGAUGCACACACUUUUACUUCUUGCUAAUCCAACUUUUCAACAUGCAAAUGUUGGUUGGUAAUUUUGCACAUAAUUUUUGCAUGAUUUUUUGAAAUAUGAAUGAUAUAUAUAUAUAUAUAUAUAUAUAUAUAUAUAUUUCAGCUUUGCUUAAUAUGUACGUAAGUAUUACCAUGAAUAAAUCCUGCAGAAACAAAAAAGAAAACCAUGCAGAAUUUUUCCAAGAUUUUUUUAUAAAUGAAUAUCGUUCUUAUUUUAAGGAAAAAUUUCGAGUGGCUUUUCGGGAAGGGCUCAAAGCCCAUCUAUAUGACGACCCAACUUUGAGUAUUUUAGCAACAGUCUAGAUAAGCAUUUGAAUAUCUUCUAUUGAAAAAAACAUAAUACUAUCUCUGUUCAUCGGUCCAAAUUGAGGAUGAGUAUGCUAAUAGGAGAUGGCUUCAUCUAUAUUAUUUAACAAGGGUUAGUAAUAGAAAAAACUUUAAACUAGUCCAUUUAUAGCUAAUUUACCCCAAAUUAAUUUUUAGGUUAUCAAAAACCCCAGAUGUAUGGAUUUAUCCGUGGACUUGUUAUGUCAAUUGAGUAAUUGCCAUGUGUCAUAUAACUUAGCAAUUUCAUAGAUAAAUCUGACGGAAGUUAUUAUAGGGUAAAUAUGUCACAAAUUUACCAGUUUGGAGUUUUUUUCUGAUUAAAUAAUUAGUUUUUGUGUAAAUUUAUUAUAAGUAUAUCAAUUAAGAAUUUUUCGUUAUAUUAAUCCUUAAAAGAAGGAACUAAUAAGUAUUUUUUUUUUUUGUGGGCAUUAUAGUUAGCGAUUGCCUAUCUAUCUGCCAAAAAUUACAACUGCGGUCUUCCAAUUUUUAUGCCGCGAGGUGGAUCUCGAGAAACCGGAUGGAGGGUUCAACAAGAAAGAACUGGUAUUUGCAGUCGAAAUGCUCGUCACAUUAGAUGUUGCCAGGUGUAAUGAACUGGUUUGAUGACAUUGGUUCCCCCAAGACCAUGGGAAUAUUGUCUUCUAGACUUGAAUUUCUAAUCUGAUUACUGGAUGGAGUGUUUAAUGUACCCAAAUUCCAGAUUUGUGUAUGGAAGAUGCCUAGUAUGUCCACCAUCUUGUGGAAUCGUCAUUUCAUUGAGCUUGCUUAUAAUAAAAUCCGUAGCUAUUGCUUAUAAUAAAAUCCCUGUGAGCCAUUUUAUAGUUUGCAUGCCUGCUGUCUAACAUGGCUGCUCAUAGGUCUCUCGCUGUGAGUGUUUUUUUGGAAAGGCAGUAGGGUUCCAACGGUAGGGAUCCCCAAGGUAGAGUGGUAGAGGUUGUUCCCCUAUAGCCAUUUACAGUUCGCAAGGAUUUGCAGCACUUCACCUCUAUGUGAGCCAAAGGUGAGCUUGUCCCUCGCUUGUGGUCGGUCACUAGCCGAGGAAUAAGGAAAACAAAAGCAAAGAAAUAGUAAAAAAUUCGUUUUUUUGAUAAUUUUUUCUUGAAAAGUCUAUUUUCCUUAUCAAAUGGUGAAAAAUAUUUUCUAAUUUAUUUUUAAGUUUUACUUGAAAACUAAAAAAUAUUAUCAUUUUCCAAGAAAAUGAUUUCUUGAAAAACAUUUUCUAGAAAUGUAUUAUUUUUUUUUCCGAAAUGAAUGGAGCCUAAGAAAGGAUUGUUCACAUAUUCCUAGUUUCGAAAUCAGAUGCAUCGAUUAAUCUAUGAAGGGAUUAGUCCAUCAAUUGAUGCUUUCUACCUUUUUUGGUCAUAAUGGCGUUUUCUCAUUCACACCAAAAUUUUCGAAAAAUUGUCUAAAAAGUCCUAAAUCUAUUGUAUUUUUAUUAAUUCAGUCCUAAACUUUUUAAUUUAACCAACUCAAUCCUAAACCUUUUCAUUUUUUUGUCAAUUCAGUCCAUUCGGUCAAUAUUGACUGAAAAUCAUUGACAUGGAUGUCGGCCAUCCUACAUGGCACAACUAAUACUGGCGUGGGCAAUUUUUAAUAAUAUCUUAAUAUUUUUCUGAUUAUUUAUUAUGUAUUAAUUUUUUCAUUUUCCUUUUUGCUAUUCUCCUUUUCUUCUUUUUCUUUUUCCUUUCCGUUUUUCCCUUCACCAACCAUUGGUGGAUCUUGUCAAUAGCUAACAGAGGUCAUUGGCCUUAGGCGAGGGCCACUCUAGUCUCUUGGGUGAGGAACGUGUGGGCUUGGGCUAGCCAUGGCACCCCUCGCAUAGGCGAGGCUUGGGAGGGCGACCCUCACCCUCACCGGCCCAAGCCUAGGCAUUCCUCACUUCAAGCUGGUGGUGGAAAAAAGAAAAGAAAAAAACAUGAAAGAAGGAAAAGAGAAAAAAGGGAAAAAAAUUGAACAAAUAUUUAAAUAUUAUUUCAAAUUGUCAACUUCAAUAAUGAUUGUCAUACAUGGCACGAUCAACCUCUACCUUAGUGUUUCUACCAAAAUUGGUUGGACGAACUCAAUUGGUAAAAAGAAAAAAUGUGCUUUAUUAAGCUAGCAAAAUUGAAAAGUUUAAGUGCAAUAGAUUUAGGAUUUUUUGGAUAAUUUUCUCUCAAAAUUUUUUUGUUCCUAUAUUAUUAUGUUUGACUUGUGAGAUUUCUAAUAUAGCCACAUGUUCUUAGCCCUGAUACCACAUAGUAAGACUUUUUGUAAAAUCAAGGAUUAAUACCCUAAAAAAUCCCAAAUUACUACACAUAUAAUAAAUUUAUCCCAAACUAAUUUUUUGACCACCAACAACCCAAACUGAUACACCUUUAACAAAUUUACCCCAAAUUGAUACAAUUGUGACAAAUUUACCCUCUAUUAGUUUCCGUUAAAUCUUACUGUCAAAUUAUUAAGUUAAAUGACACGUGACAGUUGUCUAGUGUACCAGUUUGAGAUUUUACUCUCCGUUUGUUACAGUUAUACAAUUUUUGUGAUUUUUUGUAGUAUUAAUCUAAUUUAACGGAUGAUAUAUUUGUCAUUGGGGGUUUUUUUACAGUUGUAUAAAUUAGUUUGGGAUAAUUUUGUUACAAGUAUAUUAAUUUAGGGUUUUUAAUGGUCAGUUGGGGUAAAUUUAUCACAGGUGUACUAGUUUAGGGUUUUUCAUGGUUAUAAAAAAAGUAUGGGGUAAAUUUGUCAUACGUGUACCAGUUUGAGGUUUUUCAGGAUAUUAACCCUAAAAUCAAAUUAAUAAUAAGAUACUAAGGAAUAGAGAGUCCGAUGCUGACUUGGAAAUGAAUACCACAUAGGUAGGAUUAGCUAAUAUUGAUUUGAGAACGAUUUACAAAUGAAUAACCAGCCUACGAGGCAAAUAAAAAAGCUGGCUUGGACACUUUUCAAUGUAGGAAUUAUAGGUCCAUCUUUCUAUCAAUAUACAUUUAAGCUUGUGAUUCAACAUCCAAUCUUGGGCCAGAAAUGCAGGAGAACGAUAUAUCACCAUACUGCAAAAUAUGCAUAAUUCUUGUACUUCUCAUGCAUCGAUUAGAGAUUUAUUACCAAAAUAUGCUUAAUAUUUAGAGAUGCAAAAUUAGAUUUGAUAGAAUUAGAGAUUUGCUAAAUUGAUCAUCAAAAGCAAAUUACUAUAUAAGGCUCGUACGUAACUAUUCCAUGUGGUUCAAUUUCGUGUAAGCUUUAGCCACUAUAUAUAACUUAAACCUUUAUUACCAAAAUAUGCAUAAUUCUUUUGCUUCUUUUACAUCGAUUAGAAAUUUGUCAUUAAAAUAUGUAUAAGAACUAGAGAUGCAGAAUUAGACAUUUGCUAAGGUUGGAGAUUUAUCAAAGUAAUCAUCAAAAGUAAAUUACUGAAUAAAGCUUGGAUUGAGUAUGCCAUGUGGCUCAAUCUUGCGCACGACAUAUGUAUGUGUGGGGGAUAGUUGAAGAGAUGGAUUAGAUGAUAAAAUUGCACGUGGUGAGAUCUGGGGUAGAUGUUCUUAAUUGAGGGCUUAAUUCCCUUGAAGUCAAAUUUUGAAGGCAAUUAUUUUGCCUUCAAAAAGAAUAAAGAAAAAUUUAAUUUUAUAUCAAAAUAUAAGCGUCUUUACAAAUGUGGAACGUUCGGCAUCAAAUAAAAGUCAAAUUUUAAAGGCAAGCAAGCUCCAAAUAAUACAACUUUUUUUUUUCUUUUAUGUAGAUUUCGUUGAAUACUUCAUCAGGAAGUAAAGAACAUUCUAUGCAUAAAAUUUUCUAUUUUGCUAUUUGCUAUUUUGCAAAGCUCAAGAAGAAAUAUUAGGAGAAUAAAUGGUUAAUACCUUGAAAAACCCAAAAUUGGUACAUUUAUGACAAAUUUACCAUAAACUAAUUUUUUGAUCAUGAAAAAUCUCCAAACUAGUACACAUUUGACAAAUUUACCCCAAAUUGGUAUAUUUAUGACAAAUUUACCCUAUGUUAGUUUUCAUUAAAUUUUACUAUCAAAUAAUUAAGUUGAAUGACACGUGAUAAUUGACUGGUGUAAUAAUUUGUAAUUUUACUUUCCGUUUGUCAUAUUUAUACAAUUUUUGUGAAUUUUUUGUGGUAUGAAUCCAAUUUAACGGAAGGUAUAUUUGUUACAAACGUAUCAGUUUAUAGUUUUUGGCAGUUGAAUAAAUUAGUUUUGGGUAAAUUGGUAAGCAGUAUAUCAGUUUGGGGCUUUUUAUGGUUAGUUGUGGUAAAUUUGUCAUAUGUGUAUUAAUUUGGGGUUUUUCAGGGUAUUAACAAAAAAAUGUAUUAACUCAAAAAAAAAAAAAAAAAGAAUCCUGCUCAAUAAUUGCUUUUUGUACUAGAGGAAAGAGCAAUGCAGUUUCAUGGUAUCUUCUCAUUAGUCGCCUAGCCACUUUAGCAGGAAAAAUGCCAAAGUAGACUUGUACAAUUUGACCAAGCGUAAUGCAUAGAGACAAACAAUUAUAUAGGGCGGUUUUCGGAAAAUAUCGAGGUGCAGACAUCUCAAGUGUCGCAACUUGACACAGGUAAAUAUAUAAGUGCCAAAACUUUCAAAAUGUACACUUAAGCACCAAAAUCCAAGAAGAAAGGAAAAUUUAAAUGCCAACAGUGAGAAUUUCCGGCUAAAUAACUGACGUAGCAUUUUUCGACGAGAAUUUUAAAUAAUGUGGCAUUUCUUUUAAUAAAAAUUAUCCAUGUGGUGCUAAUGUGGCUAGAUAAGUCCAAAACGAUGUCAUUUUGGUUGAAAUUUGAUUUUAAUAUAAACAUUAAUUAAAUUAAAUUAAAAAACUAUAUCAAAAAAGAAGAAGGGAAAUUAGCGAGGGCCUCCACGGCCAUCACCACCACCACACCAUCAUCGUCAGAAAGGGCCAGUGAUGGUGGGAUGAAGACCUCAGUCAAUCACUGGCAACCUUAUUUAACUGGAAGUGAGGGCUACAUGGCCUCACCCAAUUCUGAGGGGAGGGCUGCACCUCCCCCUAUUGAGCAAGGGUUGUCGCCCUCGUCAGAGGGGCCAAGGGUAGCCAUUGGUAGGGUUGGGCGGUGACCUCUCGCCCCACCUAGGGGCACCCUUUGACCUGAUUUGGGCGAGGGCUAGUGACCCUUGCUCGAUCUGGGGGAAAGCUGUGGCCCCUUACCCCCAAUUGCUUGCUAUUAACUAGGGUCAUUAGCCAUUGGCUGGGGCCCUUGCCCCAUCGUUGUUGGCCCUUAUUAGUGAUAGUCGGGUGGCAGCAACGAGGGUUGUAGACAGCCCUCGUUGAUUUGCUUUUUAAUUUUAAUAUUAAUUUUUAAAAGUUAGUUUUCAAAUUUAAUUUAAUUAAUAUUUAUAUUAAAAAUCAAAUUUGGACCAAAACGGCAUCAUUUUGAGACAAGGGUUGGUAAGUAUACAUUUUAGCAAGCCACAUAGACGGAUUUAUUAAUAAAAUAACGUCACGUCAGAUUUCUAGCAAGCCUCAUUAGAGUUGGCACUCAAGAAUCUAAUUAAAAAAAAAAACACUUAAGUUUACCUUUGAAAGUUUUGGCACUUUUGUGUUAAUCCGUGCCAAUUUUUAACACUAAGGGUGUACUGUUUCUAGAAAAUAUCUUAAAAGAGAGAGGGGUCGUAGAUUAGGAUGGGUACGAUACAAACUAGAAAUUUCAAAAGUGAAAUACAGAAAAACUUUUGAGGUUGGGUCAAAGUAUGCCCAAAGAUAAGUUGAUCGAUUCAAAAUAACAAGAAAAGAAACUCAUAAUGUGAGUUAUUCCACUUAAAAUAGAGGAAUGGAAGGAACAAGAGAAAGAAUAUGCAUCUCGCGAUGCCCCCCAGCACGAGACUAUUUUCCCCUUGAAGUGUAAGGCGAGGUAACUUGUGAGAUGGGGACAAGAGUCCUUUAGCAGCUGCCACAGGCAAUAUCCUUAUAAUCCCCCCAGGCGACGAAUGUUGGCUGUGGACGAGUUGCCCUUCAUGGAGAAGUUACUCGAGGAAGAAGGAGAUGGAAGAAAAAGAAAAGGAAGAGACAAAAACAUGUCAACCACAGUUUCCUCCUUGAAGUGUAGGGCAAGGUAAUUCACGAGAUGGAGAUAAGAAUCCUCUUACGGUUGCCACAGACAAUGUCCUUUUCACCACCACAAGCAAUAAAUGUUGGGCGUCGAUGAUUCACCCUUCAUGGAGAAGUUACUUGAGGAAGAAGAAGAUGAAAGAAAAAGAAAAGGAAGAGAAAAAAACAUGUCAACCACAGUUUACCCCUUGAAGUGUAGGGCAAGGCAAUUCAAGGAACAAGGAUAGGAGUCCUCCUGCGGUUGCCACAAGUAAUGUCCUUUUAACCACCGUAGGCAAUAAAUGUUGGCUAUUGAUGAGUCAGCUUUCAUAGAGAAGUUACUUGGGGAAGAAGGAGAUGGAAGAAAAAGAAAAGGAAGAAAAAAACAUGUCAUCCACUGUUUCCCCCUUGAAGUGUAAGGCAAGACAAUUCAAGAGACGAGGAUAAGAGUCCUCCUGUGGCUGCCACAGGUAAUGCCCUUUUAACCACCACAGGCAAUAAAUGGUAGCUAUUGACGAGUCACCUUUCAUGGAGAAGUCACUUGAGGAAGAAGGAGAUGGAAGAAAAAGAAAAGGAUGAGACAAGGACAUGUCAACCAUAGCUUCCCCCUGAAGUGUAGGGUAAGGCAAUUUAAGAGAUGAGGACGGGAGUCCUCUUGCGGCUGCCACAGGCAAUGUCCUUUUAACCACCACAUGAAAUCAGCCUUGGCCAUUAAUGAGUCACCCUUCGUGGAGAAGUUACUUGAGGAAGAAGAAGAUGGAAGAAAAAGAAAAGGAAGAGACAAAAGCAUGUCAACCAUAAUUUCUCCCAUGAAAUGUAUGGUAGGGCAAUUCAAGGGAUAGGGACAUGAGUCCUCUUGUGGCUGCCACAGGCAAUGCCCUUUUAAGUACCACAGGCAAUAAAUGUUGGCCAACGAGUUAUCCUUCGUGGAGAAGUUACUUGAGGAAGAAGGGAAGGAAAAAAGAGAAGAAAAAAUACAUUAACCAUUAAAAGUAAAAGGUACUAAUAUGUUUUUUUCUAGAAAAAAAAAUAAAUGUAAUUUACCUUUCAAAUUAAAAGAACAUUUCAUACUAUAUCUACAUAUAUUUCCCAACUAAUUAGACACGACGGGACAUCAAAAUUAAAAUAUCAUCAUUUAAAGGCUUUUAUGCACCAUUCUUUGACAAUUUGAAGACAAAUACCGAUUAAUGACAUCCCACAUAUAACAUUUAGCAUCAAAGUUAAAUGAAUAACAUGUUUCACUAUUAAGAAGUUGUUUGGUUUAACUUUCCCACGAUAUCUUAGCUAUGUGCAUUGUAACUUUUAUAAGGUGCAAAUUCAUUAUAAUUGCAGUUCCUCUAAACUACAUAAACUUAUGGUAGCUUUUGGGAGGAAACCUCAUCCAAUUUUAAGAUGUUGCUACUUUAAAAUAUGUUUUACCAAGCACGUAAAUUACAAUACACUUCACAAUAUAGUUUAACAAAACACGGUUACAAUUCAAUCACAACUACAUUGUGCGGGCUUUAGUAGCCCAUUACCCAACUAUGCCAUGAAAUAGAGAAAUAGGGAAUGAUUUUAACCAACAAUUUUAAGAUGGAUCACACAAUUAUUGCUCCACUGGUAUACAUCUACACUUGCAAUUUGACUUCAAAUCCAAGGCCUGAAAUACACCUAUAAUUGAUCACACUAGAGAUCAAAACAAAACUAGGCCGAGUCUCGAGAUAAUCGCCACCAAAAUGUGGGCAUAUCCUGAGCAAUUCAUCCAUGUGGCUCGAUGACCCUUGAACCUCUCCUUCAAAAUCCCAUGACCCAGCACCCCUCCCAUGUCAACAUUUGUAGAAAUUAUGAUGGUCAGCGUUUGUCUUAAUGUUCCUCCUCUCUCUCUUUCGUAACUUUAAAUAAGUCAUUGGAACAUGUUAGAAUGAUCAUGCGAACAUCAAAGUCAUUCUUCUCACAAAUUGACACACUUUUACUUAUAUUUAUUAGAAAAAAACCUUUUGUAAUUACCGUAAAAUGACAUAAAUAAUCCAUAUUAAAUUUGAUGAUGUGAAUUUUCAAUCCUAAUUAGAGCGUAAAAAAGUCCUUUUGUUUUGUUUUGUUUUGUUUUGUUUUGUUUUGCUUUUUGUUUUUGGUCUAGGAUGCUUUGUGGAAUAAGGACGGAAAAAUCCCUUUCGCCGUAGAUAAAGCUUUGCGUUUAAAUUCACCUUGGGAAAGUAGAAAACAAUGUGUACAGAGUGCCCAAUGAUUUAGCUUGAAGGAGGACCCCUCAUUGAAUUGAAUUGUCCGCUGAUUAGUGGUUUGGUGGUCUUUUUUCCACGGAAAGGAGUUAUCAUGAAGGGUCAAUCGAUGGGCGCUUCGGCUUGUAGGAGGGAGGACCACUCAGCAUACUGAAUUGCCGCUCGUGAUUGACUGUACAGGAGGGAUGACUUCCUGGGAAAAGAGGUAUUGAAGUAUAACAGAAAAAGUCCUUCGCAUCUACACAGCUUCUAUAAAGGCUCCUCUGUGAGGCUGUUCAACAUAUAGCUCAAGCUGCUCAACCAAUACAUAUUACUUCACUCACUCUUUCUUGUCCUCCCUUAGAGAAUUAUUACCCAAUUUGUGCUCAUAAAAUGAGACAUUCGCGUCUCAAUUAUGCACAACUUCGUUGUUCUUGGCUUCUUUUUGCUGCCAUUUUGGUGUUAUGCUUUGCUAUGAUCGUUUCUACUACCAACGAUUCGGAUAGGCUUGCAUUGCUUGCAUUCAAGGCUGAAAUAACUAGCGAC